UUGGGAAUCUUGCACAAUGGGGGAAACCCUGAUGCAGCGACGCCGCGUGGAGGAUGAAGGGUCUAGGCUCGUAAACUCCUUUUUUCGGGAAAGACUUAGGACGGUACCCGAAGAAUAAGCACCGGCUAACUACGUGCCAGCAGCCGCGGUAAGACGUAGGGUGCAAGCGUUGUCCGGAUUUACUGGGCGUAAAGAGCGCGUAGGCGGCUCGUUAAGUGUGAAGUGAAAUCUCUGGGCUCACCCCAGAAACUGCUUUACAUACUGGCGAGCUUGAGGAUUGGAGAGGUUUGUGGAAUUCCUGGUGUAGCGGUGAAAUGCGUUGAUAUCAGGAGGAACACCCAUGGCGAAGGCAGCAAACUGGCCAAUUCCUGACGCUGAGGCGCGAAAGCGUGGGUAGCAA
rnacentral:rRNA from 1 species